UUAAUAAAAGGAAUAAGCUGAAAAGAAAAUGAAUGAUAGCUCAUUCACUCAUAUCAUGAUAGCUGAAACCAUACAGAUUUAUAUCAGAGUUGCACAAGUCAGAAUUCGGUUUAUAACCACAGCACGGAAACUGCCCUGAUUAAAAUCACCAAUGACCUUCUUAUGGCAGCUGAUUCUGGACUAAUAUCUAUUCUCAUUCUCCUCGACCUGAAUGCGGCCUUUGACACUAUUUGUCACAGCACCCUCAUCACUAGACUAUAUCCACUCUUGGCAUCACCAAUACCCCACUUAACUGUUUUAAAUCAUUAUCCAUUCAACUUAAAUCAUUCACUUCUCAGCAUUUUACAGUUUCUUUGGGUGUACCCCAGGGCUCAGUCCUGGGCCCCCUGCUUUUAACAUCUAUCAAAAUUAUAACUGCAUUAUCUAAUGCAGUACAUAAUAUUGGUGGCGUAUCACUGUUUAACCCUUCAGUUUUAAAGGUCUUUACACCUUUAAAAUAACCCCCUACCACCCCCCAAAAAAUGUAUAAAAUAAUGAAUGUAGUUUUUAGCUUUAAAAAUAGAGAAAAAAUGUAUUCAAGAUCAAAACAAGCUUGCAUUACUAUAGCAACUAUAAACAGUAGACUGGGAGGAUUUCUUAGUAUUUAUUUCUUUAUUUCUUUAACAUUUGAUUGGGCGAUGAGUGAUGCAUAUAACUGAAAGGACAGAAAGGAGAGCAGAACAAACUCCUAACAGGAGGAGACUCACCCAUGGCCUAUGAGACAGAGCAUCAGGAGACUCAAUACUGCUUUCCUAACUUCAACUCAUCAUGCAUCAAAGGAAAACGCUCUAGACAUGAAUAUAUCAUCAUGUAUGUGUUCUUUUCACUGCUGUCAGCAUGGACUGUGUUUCUGAACCUGCUGGUGAUCAUCUCCAUCUCUCACUUCAAGAAGCUUCACACUCCAACCAACAUGAUUAUUCUCUCUCUGGCUGUAAAUGAUCUGCUUAUUGGACUUAUUGUGAUGCCCAUACAGGCCAUCAGACUGAUUGAGACAUGUUGGUACUUUGGAGAAACUUUCUGUGGAUUCUAUUUAAUACUAAUAGGGCUUAUUUUCUCAGCAUCUCUUAGUAACUUGGUUUUAAUUGCUGUUGAUCGUUAUGUGGCUGUGUGUCACCCUUUACUGUACCCACAGAAAAUAACCAUCACCAACAUGUUAAAGAGCAUCUGUCUGAACUGGCUUUACUACUCAGCUUAUAACACGUCCUUUGUAGUUAAUAAUGGAAGUUUUGACUCUUCACACAGAACCGAAGUGUGUUAUGGAAAGUGUUCAGUCAUGAUGAGUUUUAGUUGGAUCAUCACUGAUCUGUUCAUGUCUUUUAUUUUUCCCUGUCUCAUAAUGAUCACUUUAUAUUCAAGAAUUUUCUAUGUAGUACAUCAGCAAGUGAAGGUUAUAAACUCUCUGAUGAAGGGUGGUAAACGUGUAACAGAGAGUUCAGUGAAGAGGAAAUCUGAGAGUAAAGCUGCUCUGACUUUAGGAAUCAUUGUGACCAUUUAUCUGCUUUUCUAUAUCCCAUACUAUAUCUGUAUUUUAUUUGUGAACUCCUCCACAACUAUAACUGUUUUGGCGUGGGCUGUAUGUGCUAACUCAGGUGUGAAUCCUCUGAUUUAUGCUUUAUACUACAGCUCAUUUAAAAAGACAGUUAAACACAUCUUCACUCUGAAAAUUUUUCAGCCGGCAUCCUUUCUGUUAUGUAUUUUUAAAUAACAUGAAGUGACUCUCACUUGACAUCAUCUGUGAUAUUAUAAAUUAAAACAAUUACAUAUAAACAUAAGGUCACUUUUAAGAAUAAAUAACUAAACUGGUAGUGAUAA